rnacentral:rRNA from 1 species
UGGCUCAGAUUGAACGCUGGCGGCAGGCCUAACACAUGCAAGUCGAACGGUAACAGGAAGCAGCUUGCUGCUUUGCUGACGAGUGGCGGACGGGUGAGUAAUGUCUGGGAAACUGCCUGAUGGAGGGGGAUAACUACUGGAAACGGUGGCUAAUACCGCAUAACGUCGCAAGACCAAAGAGGGGGACCUUCGGGCCUCUUGCCAUCAGAUGUGCCCAGAUGGGAUUAGCUUGUUGGUGAGGUAACGGCUCACCAAGGCGACGAUCCCUAGCUGGUCUGAGAGGAUGACCAGCCACACUGGAACUGAGACACGGUCCAGACUCCUACGGGAGGCAGCAGUGGGGAAUAUUGCACAAUGGGCGCAAGCCUGAUGCAGCCAUGCCGCGUGUAUGAAGAAGGCCUUCGGGUUGUAAGUACUUUCAGCGGGGAGGAAGGUGUUGCGGUUAAUAACCGCAGCAAUUGACGUUACCCGCAGAAGAAGCACCGGCUAACUCCGUGCCAGCAGCCGCGGUAAUACGGAGGGUGCAAGCGUUAAUCGGAAUUACUGGGCGUAAAGCGCACGCAGGCGGUCUGUCAAGUCGGAUGUGAAAUCCCCGGGCUCAACCUGGGAACUGCAUUCGAAACUGGCAGGCUUGAGUCUUGUAGAGGGGGGUAGAAUUCCAAGUGUAGCGGUGAAAUGCGUAGAGAUCUGGAGGAAUACCGGUGGCGAAGGCGGCCCCCUGGACAAAGACUGACGCUCAGGUGCGAAAGCGUGGGGAGCAAACAGGAUUAGAUACCCUGGUAGUCCACGCCGUAAACGAUGUCUACUUGGAGGUUGUGCCCUUGAGGCGUGGCUUCCGGAGCUAACGCGUUAAGUAGACCGCCUGGGGAGUACGGCCGCAAGGUUAAAACUCAAAUGAAUUGACGGGGGCCCGCACAAGCGGUGGAGCAUGUGGUUUAAUUCGAUGCAACGCGAAGAACCUUACCUGGUCUUGACAUCCACAGAAGAAUCCAGAGAUGGAUUUGUGCCUUCGGGAACUGUGAGACAGGUGCUGCAUGGCUGUCGUCAGCUCGUGUUGUGAAAUGUUGGGUUAAGUCCCGCAACGAGCGCAACCCUUAUCCUUUGUUGCCAGCGAUUAGGUCGGGAACUCAAAGGAGACUGCCAGUGAUAAACUGGAGGGAGGUGGGGAUGACGUCGAGUCAUCAUGGCCCUUACGACCAGGGCUACACACGUGCUACAAUGGCGCAUACAAAGAGAAGCGACCUCGCGAGAGCAAGCGGACCUCAUAAAGUGCGUCGUAGUCCGGAUUGGAGUCUGCAACUCGACUCCAUGAAGUCGGAAUCGCUAGUAAUCGUGGAUCAGAAUGCCACGGUGAAUACGUUCCCGGGCCUUGUACACACCGCCCGUCACACCAUGGGAGUGGGUUGCAAAAGAAGUAGGUAGCUUAACCUUCGGGAGGGCGCUUACCACUUUGUGAUUCAUGACUGGGGUGAAGUCGUA